rnacentral:rRNA from 1 species
AGUGAACGCUGGCGGUAGGCCUAACACAUGCAAGUCGAACGGCAGCACAGUAAGAGCUUGCUCUUACGGGUGGCGAGUGGCGGACGGGAGAGGAGUACAUCGGAAUCUACUUUUUCGUGUGGGAUAACGAAGGUAAAGUUACGCUAAUACCGCAUACGACGUACGGGUGAAAGGAGGGGAUCUUCGCGCCGUGCGGGAAUGAAUGAGCCGAUGCGGGAGUAGCUAGUUGGGGGGGUAAAUGCCCAGCAAGGCGACGAUCGGUUGCUGGACUGAGAGGAUGGUCGGCGGCAUUGGAACUUGGACACGGUCAAGACUCCUACGGGAGGGAGCAGUGGGGAAUAUUAGGCAAUGGGCGCGAGCAUGAUACAGCCAUACCGCGUGUGUGAAGAAGGCCUUCGGGUUGUAAAGCCCUUUUGUUGGGAAAGAAAAGCAGCAGGUUAAUACCACGCUGGUGUGACGGUACCCAAAGAAUAAGCACCGGCUAACUUCGUG